UACGGAGGGGGCGAGCGUUAUUCGGAAUUAUUGGGCGUAAAGGGCGCGUAGGCGGCUUGGUAAGUCAAAGGUGAAAUCCCUCGGCUCAACCGAGGAAUUGCCUUUGAAACUGCCUGGCUUGAGGCCGGGAGGGGGUAGCGGAAUUCUCAGUGUAGCGGUGAAAUGCGUAGAUACUGGGAGGAACACCGGUGGCGAAGGCGGCUACCUGGACCGGUUCUGACGCUGAUGCGCGAAAGCGUGGGGAGCAAACAGG
rnacentral:rRNA from 1 species